AGCGCUUGGCAGCCCAUCGUCCAGAUUGUGGCUGAAGCUGAAUUUUAUGAGCCUUCCCCCAAGAAAUAUCUUGAAAGAGCCAGGUUGGUCCAGACCUGCUGGCAAGCCUGCAGCCCCAUCCACCGAUUACCUAAUACACUUGUGACAUCUGCUUUCCUUGUUGUGAGAAAACACAGGGAGGAAGUGUGUGCAGAAGGGGUGAUGCCUGACCUACACACCCGGCAAUACCAGAAGUUUCACUACCUUCCGUUGGUAAACGCUUCAGGGAAGGCUCUGCAACCCUGAACGUGUUUUAUUGUAGAACCUCACUAGGAAACUCAUCAGUAUUUAUUAAAGAUGAAUUAAAAGAAGGAGGAAAAGGAAAAACGGGAUAGUGAAGAGAAUAGAUGAAUGAAAAAGAAGCAAAGGGAAGAGAGGAGGAAGGGACAAAGAGGGCAAGAAAAGAGAAAAGAGAGAUGAGAGACCAGGACUUCCCACCUAACCUUACCAAACUUUUUCAGUUGAGCUUUUAAUGGGAUACUAUUCCCAAGAGGAAAUUCAAAAAGAAAACCACCUUGAAACAUCCUUGCUUUUAAUUGUACUCUUUCAACUGCCAGGAAAUUAAUUAGGUGUCCAGCUACAGAGGCCAAGCCUGUGAUUUACAUCAAGCAAAGAGUCCUGGGAGAAAGAGGAGGAAAGACCGCCUUUGCCUGGGACAAGAUUCCUAUUUGUGUCAAGGAGAGUUAGGGACGAGAUGGUUGAGGCAGAGCAGCUGACUGCAGUCUUUAUCCAGUUUGCAUUGCUUUGGGGAAAGCCUUUUAACUGCAAGCCGGAUUGUCCAGAUGCUGGGCUGUCCGGAUGCUGGAUGGUCCAGAUGCUUUGUCGUGGUUGUUCCCUCUGAGUUUCCUCUGCCUUCUGGCUCCUCUUAGUCACCUUCACAACAGGGCUUUAUCAGGACUCUAGAGCAUCGGGCAAGCUCAGGUCUCACCUCUCCUUUUAAUUCUGCAGGAGUCUAUGCCAUGUACUCCAGCCCUGCAUAGAAUGAGUUCUGGAGUUCACCUGGAGCCCACGGAGAGUGGAUGUGGAACUUUUCUGUAGAACAUAGGAGCCGUCUGUACCGGCACAGCUUCAGCCAGCAAUAAGCAUUACCAGCUCCUGCCAGAGGAGCAAGAGGCAGCCACUGAGCUAUAGAGAUCCACACUCCGUCCCUCGUACAACUGCCGCUGUGACCACCUUCUCCUUUCUGCUUUAUUACGUCUGAGAAGCAUUUCAUAUGAUAACCUUCCCUUUCACUCUGGCCUGGACCCUUAUUGAAAAGGAAGAAGCAGUGGAAGAGAUCAGACAAGCAGUGUUGUUCGAGACACUUCCUAAUUCCCUUAACAAGGGUUAUGAAGUUUCGGCUGGGAAAAAGGACAAGGGGCAGAGACAGUGUUUAUUUACAGAAUGGUUCUAGAAGAGCUGACAGGCUUCGAAUGGCCGUGGGUUGUACGGUUUUGACAUUUAACAAUUUUAUUAACAUCUUU
rnacentral:lncRNA from 1 species